rnacentral:snRNA from 1 species
AUCGCUUCUUGGCCUUUUGGUUAAGAUCAAGUGUAGUAAAAGAAGAAUAUUCAUUUGUGGUUCAAGAGAAGGCAUUAUAUUUGUAAAGGAAGUUAAGUGAAAUCAUAAUAUAUUUUGGAGAAGAUAGGUGAAACAUCACAGCAUACUAUCUUUCCUUCCUAUCUUUAUCCAAGGUCUUGGUUUUCCUUGGUUAUAUAGUUCAAUU